rnacentral:rRNA from 1 species
AUGGCGCCCCACAAGCCUUCCGUCGCGACGUGGCGGGUUCUGGACGCCAUGGAAGAAGGGAACUCCGACCUCACCAAGAUGCUUGAGUCCUUCUCCAAGUUUGACGAACAAGCGGCCCUGCACGACAAGCAGUUCGAGGUGCAGACCGCCUUCAACAACCAGAUCUCGCAGGAGCUGCAAGGCCUCUCGCGGCAGCUGGAUCUGACCCAGGCCGACGUGUAUGCGGCCCGCAAGGUUGUCGAGGGCUCGUCGUCUCCCGCAGGCUCCGUUACCACGAUCGCACCACCACCGCCGCCGCCGACACCACCUUCACCUCAUCAGCAGCCACAUCACAACGAUCCGCUCCGCCCCGCCUUCGCUCACGCCCGAUUGGGGGGUACGCAGCUCCUGCUCAUCCCGACUCCCCCUCUCGGCGUGACCAUGACCACGUUCACCGCGCCACCGCCCAGCCCCACACACCACGAGAGCAACUACCACAUGCCUCUGAAGCAUGAUUUUCCCCACUUUGAUGGUACCGCGCCCUACCUCUGGUUGGAUCGUUGUUUGGCGUAUUUCGAGCUCUACAAGGUGGGCCAGCAGUUUUGGGUGCCCACCGCCGCUUUCUACAUCGAGGGGCAGGCGGCGCAUUGGUUGCAGGCAUUUCGCCAGAGCCACUGCAAUUUGUCAUGGGACAUGUUCACAGUUGCCGUGCUCGAGGAGUUCGGCGUCGAUGAAUUCGAGCUCGUCAUCCACAGGCUGCUUCAGCUUUGCCAGACCGGCAGUGUCUCCGACUACCGCGUGGCCUUGGAUCCCUUCAUCAACUCCCAAGUUCUUCGUCACACAGUUUCUUCUGGGCCUGAAGGAUGGAUUGCGUGCUGCCUACGCCUGCAAGCACCGUGA